GGCGAAUGAACAGGGAUGAGCUCAGGCUGGAAACCGAUACAUCUGUGUCGGGCUGUAGCCUGCAGGCAUAGCGCUAUCGGCGGCUCGAGCGCAAGCCUCUUGGAAUAGAGCGUGUGCCCGGGUGAGAAUCCUGCAUUUCGCUCGAUGUCCGCUGUCCACAGUGCUUGUUCUGAGAGUCACGCUCCUCGGAAUUGGAGCGUAAAUCAGGUGGUAAGUUUCAUCCAAAGCUAAAUAGAAGCUCGAGACCAAUAGCAAACAAGUACCAUGAGGGAAAGAUGAAAAGGACUUUGGAAAGAGAGUUAAAAGUGUUUGAAAUUGCUGAGAGCGAAGCGAACGGAGCCACAUGUCGUGCUGAGAUUGCUGUGGGUCUUUGUGAGCCUUGAGCAUGUAAGCGCAAGCUGACUGCUUAUGCGUGAGCAUUUGCCCGCAGUGUUUCUCAGCAUGCGAGUCAUUAGCCACAUUUGUUUGAGGAUGGCCUUCAGCUCACAUGGUACACUUGUUAGUGUGCCUCUGUGCGGUGUGGGACUCAGACAGGUGUGGCUUGUUGACCCAGUGGUUUUUUUCGACCCGUCUUGAAACACGGACCAAGGA
rnacentral:rRNA from 1 species